rnacentral:rRNA from 1 species
GACGAACGCUGGCGGCGUGCUUAACACAUGCAAGUCGAACGGAAAGGCCCUGCUUUUGUGGGGUGCUCGAGUGGCGAACGGGUGAGUAACACGUGAGUAACCUGCCCUUGACUUUGGGAUAACUUCAGGAAACUGGGGCUAAUACCGGAGAGGAUCUCCUGCUGCAUGGUGGGGGUUGGAAAGUGUCGGCGGUUGGGGAUGGACUCGCGGCUUAUCCGCUUGUUGGGGGGGUAGUGGCGUACCAGGGCUAUGACGGGUAGCCGGCAUGAGAGGGUUAACGGCGACAAUGGGCCUGAGAUACGGAGCAGACUCGUACGGGAGGCAGCAGUCGAGAAUAUUGCAGAACGGGCGGAAGCCUGAUGCGGCAACGCCGCGUGCGGGAUGCCGGGCUUCGGGUUGUAAACCGAUUUCGACUGUGACGAAGCGUGCUUGACGGUAAUGGGUAAGGAAGCACCGGCUAACUACGUG